rnacentral:misc_RNA from 1 species
GACAGGGAGGUUGAGGAUUUUGCUCGGAGACUAGACUCUGUCUGGCCAGAAAGGAUACAACAGAUUUUGUCUUUGGGUCAGGAGAAUAGACGGCUUACACCAAUUUCCAUGAACGGAAAUGGUUCCAUGAAGAGAUGUACAGCAGGUGUGGACCGGGGAUAGUGAUGGAAAUGGUGGACAAACGACAAUGCGUUUUUUUUUGUAUACAGCUUGAGCUUAAAAUGCCAGGUUGUCUGUCUAUUGCAACAAAGAACUUUGGUAUCCAUAUCAUGUAAAGUUUCCUGUCAAGCUGCCAAUAGCAAGUUCGCGUCCCUGGAUACACGCCAGGUUCUCAAAGUGUACUGAAAUAUCAGAAUAGAAGGAAAGUUUCUGUUGUUUGUGACUAUGGAAUUUGCAAAACUUGUGCAUUUCAAAAAAGCUGAGAUUAACAGUUUCCAGUUUUGCACUACAUUCCUAGUUUCUUUUUAAACCAUGGUUUUGAUUUUUCCAUCUUCUCUUU